rnacentral:rRNA from 1 species
UACGUAGGUGGCAAUCGUUAUCCGGAUUUACUGGGUGUAAAGGGCGCGCAGGCGGCCCCAAAAGUCAGAUGUGAAAUACCCGGGCUCAACUUGGGUGCUGCAUUUCAAACUGGAAGUCUAGAGUGCAGGAGAGGAGAAUGGAAUUCCUAGUGUAGCGGUGAAAUGCGUAGAGAUUAGGAAGAACACCAGUGGCGAAGGCGAUUCUCUGGACUGUAACUGACGCUGAGGCUCGAAAGCGUGGGGAGCAAACAGGAUUAGAUA